GUUUGUUUCCUGCCCUUAGAAACUUUCAUGCUGGACAUGAGGAGUUUCGAACGGAGUUCAAAGUUCCUCCGUUUCAGGACUGCGUCCUGAGUUUCCUGGGCUUUUCAGAAGAAGAAAAGGCCAACAUGCAGGAGCGCACUUUGAAGCAUGGUGGCAGAUAUCUGGAGGUUGAAGACGAGCGCUGUACACACAUGGUGGUGGAGGAGAACUCAGUGAAGGAGCUGCCGUUCACUCCCUGUACAAAGCUAUUUGUGGUCAAACAGGAGUGGUUCUGGGGAAGCAUUCAAAUGGACGCUCGAGCUGGAGAGUCCAUGUAUCUGUACGAGAAGGUGAGUGCAUGAUGGGUACUUGAACUCACAGAAGAAAAUAUGAUCACUGAAUACUAGGUGUACGGCUCGACACUAGUUUUUCAGGUCCAAAUGCAACUUGGAGUAUCUGCUGAUUUUUAUCGAUUAAUUGAGUAAUUGGAUAAAUCGUACUUUGUGUUUUUUUUUUUUUAACAAAUUUAUUAAUAAUGGCUUAUGUAGCAUGAAAGACCUCUAAAAAUGAGCAAGCAUUUGGCUGUUGUUCAUCAUCCUCAUAGU